CUCCGCGCGGCCCCACCCCCGCGGCGCGCGCCUGCCUGAGCCUGCCACGGCGCAGGCGCCGCCCAAGCCCCCGCCCUGGGGCGUGUCUCCGAGUCCACGCGCGGCCGGCCGCCCGACCACGCCUGCGAGGGGCGGGGCGAGCUGGCCGCGCUGCGCGGUCACGUGACGCCCCCGCGCCGCUUGUUCCCGCCCGGCGGCCUCGCCCUCUUCCCGCGGACCCGUGAGCUCCCGCCACGCGGAUGUGCGCGCCCAACGCAAAGUUACUCGUGUUUCCCGCACUGAGCUGAAACGGCAGAGCCCCGACAGUUUUCGCGGCUUCCGUCGGACUGCAUCGCUUAUGUUCAUUGAGUGUAAGCGACUCAACACAGAAUUGAUCAUUUGAAACCACCCAGAAGUCCAUCGACAGCCUGUCACGCAUGGACAUAUUGCAGAGAAUCCUAGGGCAGAACAUUACACAGCAGUGGAAAUGGACGAGCCAUAGUCACACUCGGCGGGGAUGGAUCUCUCAGCGUGAUGCUGGGAAGAGGCAGCACACAAAUAAUUACGCGUGGUUUACUUCUGGUUAUAGAAAGGUCCCGGGCAGGCAAGAUGAAGGAUGGCAUUUGGGGCUGUAAGCCAGAGAAGUGGUGGCGAUCUGCAUGGGGAGGGCAGGGGUAGUGGUUACCUACACGAUCAUUUUAUUGAUCCAACCGGUAAUUUAUGUUUGGUGCACCUUUUCAUGUGUAUGUUAUGUUUCAAAAUGAAAAAAUAAAAAAGAGAAAGUCA